rnacentral:lncRNA from 1 species
AUGCAGCUUAAUAUAUGCCCUGUAAAAUAGGUAUGUUGGUUUUGUGUUUUUCUCUAAACUUAAUUUAAACAUUGUGUUUGCAUUAAAGCCAGGCCCAUGAGUGGCAUCAAUGCUGACCCACUUCUGUGGCCCUUCCUCAAAUGUCUGUGGUAGGAGCAGGACAGGAGGAAGACAAAGCAAGGGAAUACAGUGAUGAAUAUUUCAUUUCAUUUCAUUUCAUCAUGUUUCUCCAAGAAAUAAAGAUACCAAGGUGCUUAGACGUCCUUAAGCAUUUUAUUACUAGCUGAAUUAUUUCUUUUGAUGAAACCGUUUAACAAGUUGUGUACAGGCAGACAGCUCGGCGUCCAGCAGAAACCGUGGGAUCAGCGUGCGUGAUGUGGCUUUCAAUUGUUUGGUAGUGGUUCAGCUCAGCUUCUCCAAGUCAGCUAGAAAACAGCACUCCUUCUCCUCCUCAUGGAGACCACAGUCCCUCCAGAUCCUGGGAUUCAAAGGUGUGUUUACCAUUGAUGCUUCCCCAGAUUCAUGGUCACCUACAGGUAACUGUUCAUUGGAGACUAUGGUGUAGUCAGCUCCUGUUGUAAGCAACAGCUCAAAUAAACCCAAAGGUUCAUUCUCCUCAAUUAUGUUGAACUCAAGAGAUGUUAGUUUUCCUGGAGGGAAGGUCUGGAGGGUCAGUGGGUCUCCCCUCAGCCCAAGCACUAGCAGGACUUGCAUAGAGUACUACUGCCACAUAUCAGCCCCUCUCAGCAGAGCAACACAACUCCAUUUGUGCUGGUUUUCCCAGCUCUUGGAAUUGUUUUGUGUUUUGGGAAACUGUGCUGUAGCCAUUCCAGGUGACGUUGGUAACUAGUUGUAAAAUACUGUCGUUUUUCAUUGUUGUUGGUUGUAUAGAGAAGUUGGUGUACAGUGUUGUACAGCUGGAGGGUUAUUUGUACAUAGGGGGGGGAAUGAGGAACGUUGUGUGUCACCCCCAGCAAAUAUUGAUAUUGUUGGUCAGCCAAAGAUUUCUUAUUCUUUGCUGUUUAAACUUGUGCCUUAAUAUUGUAUAUAAUAAAUGUAUAAACAUGUUUAUUUUCU